GGCCGAUCAGUGAGGAAGUUGCCACAGUUCUGGCCAUCAGCACGGAAAUAGUUGUUAGCAUUGUUCCCUGGGACACCAGCUGGAGUCUGUUGGCUGGCAUCUACAGGUGCAGCAGCAGGGGUGGGCUUCUGAGCAGGUCCAUUGCUCGCAACAUGUCCCAAGUUUUGAGGAGGAGCUGCAACGUUAUUAUUAGUUGGUUUUGGAGCCUCUCCACUUCCAAAAAGGUAUCCCAAAGAACUCUGCCCUCCACCACUGCUUACUCCACGACCCAUUAUAUCAAUUCCAACUGUUAUAUGAAAAAAUCUAGGGUCCGCAAAUGGUUUUUUG
rnacentral:misc_RNA from 1 species